UACGUAGGGACCGAGCGUUGUCCGGAAUCAUUGGGCGUAAAGAGCGUGUAGGCGGCCACUUAAGUCCUGCGUGAAAUCUUGCGGCUCAACCGCAAGCGGUCGUGGGAAACUGGGUGGCUAGAGUGCGGGAGAGGAGAGUGGAAUUCCUGGUGUAGCGGUGGAAUGCGCAGAUAUCAGGAAGAACACCCGUGGCGAAGGCGGCUCUCUGGACAGUUCCUGACACUGAGGCACGAAGGCUAGGGGAGCGAACGGG
rnacentral:rRNA from 1 species